rnacentral:rRNA from 2 species
UUGCCUUAGUAGCGGCGAGUGAAGCGGCAAAAGCUCAAAUUUGAAAUCUGGCUCUUUCAGAGUCCGAGUUGUAAUUUGAAGAAGGUAUCUUUGGGUCUGGCUCUUGUCUAUGUUUCUUGGAACAGAACGUCACAGAGGGUGAGAAUCCCGUGCGAUGAGAUGAUCCAGGCCUAUGUAAAGUUCCUUCGAAGAGUCGAGUUGUUUGGGAAUGCAGCUCUAAGUGGGUGGUAAAUUCCAUCUAAAGCUAAAUAUUGGCGAGAGACCGAUAGCGAACAAGUACAGUGAUGGAAAGAUGAAAAGAACUUUGAAAAGAGAGUGAAAAAGUACGUGAAAUUGUUGAAAGGGAAGGGCUUGAGAUCAGACUUGGUAUUUUGUAUGUUACUUCUUCGGGGGUGGCCUCUACAGUUUAUCGGGCCAGCAUCAGUUUGGGCGGUAGGAGAAUUGCGUUGGAAUGUGGCACGGCUUCGGUUGUGUGUUAUAGCCUUCGUCGAUACUGCCAGCCUAGACUGAGGACUGCGGUUUAUACCUAGGAUGU